rnacentral:rRNA from 1 species
GCGGCGGGCUUAACACAUGCAAGUCGAGCGCUCACUUCGGUGGGAGCGGCGGACGGGUUAGUAACGCGUGGGAAUAUGCCCGGUACUAAGGAAUAGCCUUUGGAAACGAAGAGUAAUACCUUAUACGCCCUUCGGGGGAAAGAUUUAUCGGUAUCGGAUUAGCCCGCGUAAGAUUAGAUAGUUGGUGGGGUAAUGGCCUACCAAGUCUACGAUCUUUAGCUGGUUUUAGAGGAUGAUCAGCAACACUGGGACUGAGACACGGCCCAGACUCCUACGGGAGGCAGCAGUGGGGAAUCUUAGACAAUGGGCGCAAGCCUGAUCUAGCCAUGCCGCGUGAGUGAAGAAGGCCUUAGGGUCGUAAAACUCUUUCGCCAGAGAUGAUAAUGACAGUAUCUGGUAAAGAAACCCCGGCUAACUCCGUGCCAGCAGCCGCGGUAAUACGGAGGGGGUUAGCGUUGUUCGGAAUUACUGGGCGUAAAGCGCACGUAGGCGGACUGGAAAGUUGGGGGUGAAAUCCCGGGGCUCAACCUCGGAACUGCCUCCAAAACUAUCAGUCUAGAGUUCGAGAGAGGUGAGUGGAAUUCCAAGUGUAGAGGUGAAAUUCGUAGAUAUUUGGAGGAACACCAGUGGCGAAGGCGGCUCACUGGCUCAAUACUGACGCUGAGGUGCGAAAGUGUGGGGAGCAAACAGGAUUAGAUACCCUGGUAGUCCACACCGUAAACGAUGAAUGCCAGUCGUCGGGUAGUAUACUAUUCGGUGACACACCUAACGGAUUAAGCAUUCCGCCUGGGGAGUACGGUCGCAAGAUUAAAACUCAAAGGAAUUGACGGGGGCCCGCACAAGCGGUGGAGCAUGUGGUUUAAUUCGAAGC